CGCCGUUCAAAAUUGAAGAGCAUUCAAAUAUUCAAUAUAUCUAAAUACUAUAUAGUGUUCAUUUUCACUGGAUAAUUUCAGCUCAACCUUAUAUGGAAAUCUAUUUCUAAGAUAUUGACACAUUGACACCGCUGCAAUGAGUGAACAUUUUAAAGCCUCAAUAAAAAUAUAAUAAUAACACCGACCUGAAGAACACUUUCCACUGGAUUAUGAAGUUUAAAAACAGAAAUAUAUUCUUUUCCACUAGAUUGUUGUGAUUUAACAAGUCGUGUUGCUCUUU